rnacentral:rRNA from 1 species
AGUACGUGAAACCGUUCAGGGGUAAACCUGAGAAACCCAAAAGAUCGAAUGGGGAGAUUCAUCGUCAGCAUGUUUAAUAUAUAUAUGAGUUAUGAUGUAGAUUAUGUUUAAUGUUUAUCAUUAAACUAAUUUGCACGUACUUGUAUUAUUUUAUUGUUGAACAUUGUCGUCGUGCACUUCUCCCCUAGUAGGACGUCGCGACCCGUUAAGUGUCGGUUUACGGUCCGAUUGAGUUGCCUUUGAUAGUUAAAUAUUAAAGACCAAUUGGUGUUUCCUAACCGACUGCUUGGCGGUACUCGUACGGUAUUGAGUCGCAAAUUUAUUUGCGUUUACACCCGUUAUCAGCUAUUAGUUGUAACGGUGUUCUGUAACUGGCUCUCAAUAUAAUUACCGGUCGGCGACGCUACUGCUUUGGGUACUUUCAGGACCCGUCUU